AUGCCGCCGCGCCGCCGGGAAACUUGGGGCUACCACAGCGUCCGCGCCCGCCCCUUCGGCGGCUUCUCCGCCAAGAUCCAGUUCCGCGAGGUGCGCCUCGGCCUCGGCACUUUCGACACCGCCCACGAGGUUGCCCGCGUGUACGACGCGGCGACAUGGCACCUCUGGCGGCCUCAUAGGGAGAUGAACUUCCCCAACGUGCCGACGCGGGAGCGGGCGAAGGAGCUCGCGCCUCCGCCGCGGCUUAUAACCGACCACGAUCGUCGCAACCGGAGGCGGGAGCACCAUCUCGGCAUCGCCGAGAUGGAUGAGGAAGCCAUGGCGCUGUGGCGCCAACACUUCCCGCAGGACAUCAUCAACGAGCGUGAGUUCUACGCGCAAAGGAGGGCGGAGAGGGAGAAGAGGAGGGCGGGGCGAGCUGCCUAUCAUGAGGACAGGUGUACGCGGAAGGCGGCCGCUCAAUUCAACAUCAAGCUAGGAGCAGCGUCACCCUGGGACUCCGACGAUGAUCGGUAUCUUGACGCCUACAUUGAGACGUCGGAGGAGGACAUCACCGAGGCGGAGUCGAAUGACGAGGAGUAG
rnacentral:rRNA from 1 species